UCAGUGUUAUUUUACAUCGUAUUACGAUGGAAAUUUUGUGCACACGUUAAACCUGUGGAUAAACAUGUAGCGUGUUGAGGGAAUUUAUAUGCAGCGUGUAAUCUAACACAACCUAUAUGUUUUUUCACAUUUUCAAAUAUAACCAUCGGCAAGCCAUUAGUUGAAUUACACACUGCAUUUUUAUUCCGUGUGGCGUGUUAAGGGUACGGUUACACGACUUUUGGAAAAACCAUUCUUGUCUUUCUCUCUCCUAAGACAGACGCAUAAGUUUGUCUCACUCUGCAUUUUCCGUCUUUGGGAAAUGUAAGAAAAUGCAGAGUGAGACAAUCUUAUGCCUCUGUCUUAGGAGAGAGAAAGACAAGAAUGGUUUUUCCAAAAGUCGUGUGACCAUACCUUUAUUCUACCUUGGCCAUGUAUUUAAGGUUUUUCAUAUUUAACGAUAUGGACCAUGCGCAAAACUUCGGCCAUUUGCAUUAUGUUAUCUCUGGCGUUCAUUUAGUUUUCAAGUGGUUUUCCUGAUUUUAUUUUAUUAUAAAUAUUGUGAACACAAUUGUCAAAUACAAAAGUUCCUUUUCAAAGAAAAGUUGGGAGAAUGGCGAUUUCAAUGUUUAAAAACAUUUUAAAUUGUUAUUUAUUUAAAUUUUUUAAAUUUUUAGUGUUAAUCUGCAGAAACUACUAAUCUAAUUGUUUUAUUAUAUAUUACAUAGUGAUAAUUUAAUAAAAAAAUUUCUGUAAGAAAAUUUUUAAAUAAUAAUUUAGUUCUAUAAAAAAAAUUAA